rnacentral:rRNA from 1 species
GAUGAACGCUGGCGGCGUGCCUAAUACAUGCAAGUCGAGCGAAUGGAUUAAGAGCUUGCUCUUAUGAAGUUAGCGGCGGACGGGUGAGUAACACGUGGGUAACCUGCCCAUAAGACUGGGAUAACUCCGGGAAACCGGGGCUAAUACCGGAUAACAUUUUGAACCGCAUGGUUCGAAAUUGAAAGGCGACUUCGGCUGUCACUUAUGGAUGGACCAGCGUCGCAUUAGCUAGUUGGUGAGGUAACGGCUCACCAAGGCAACGAUGCGUAGCCGACCUGAGAGGGUGAUCGGCCACACUGGGACUGAGACACGGCCCAGACUCCUACGGGAGGCAGCAGUAGGGAAUCUUCCGCAAUGGACGAAAGUCUGACGGAGCAACGCCGCGUGAGUGAUGAAGGCUUUCGGGUCGUAAAACUCUGUUGUUAGGGAAGAACAAGUGCUAGUUGAAUAAGCUGGCACCUUGACGGUACCUAACCAGAAAGCCACGGCUAACUAUGUGCCAGCCGCCGCGGUAA